rnacentral:rRNA from 1 species
GAUGAACGCUAGCGGCAGGCCUAACACAUGCAAGUCGAACGGUAACAGGUGUAGCAAUACAUGCUGACGAGUGGCGCACGGGUGCGUAACACGUAUGCAACUUACCUCUAACUGGGGAAUAGCUUCGAGAAAUCGAAAUUAAUGUCCCAUAAUAAUUUGAUCAGGCAUCUGGUUAAAUUUAAAACUCCGGUGGUUAGAGAUAGGCAUGCGUCCUAUUAGCUUGUUGGUGAGGUAACGGCUCACCAAGGCUACGAUAGGUAGGGGGCCUGAGAGGGUUAUCCCCCACACUGGUACUGAGACACGGACCAGACUCCUACGGGAGGCAGCAGUGAGGAAUAUUGGUCAAUGGUCGCAAGACUGAACCAGCCAUGCCGCGUGCAGGAUGAAGGCCCUAUGGGUUGUAAACUGCUUUUAUCUGGGAAUAAACCCCUUUACGUGUAAAGGGCUGAAGGUACCAGAUGAAUAAGGACCGGCUAACUUCGUGCCAGCAGCCGCAGUAAGAC